rnacentral:rRNA from 1 species
GCUUGUCUCAAAGAUUAAGCCAUGCAUGUCUAAGUAUGAAUGUUAUACAGUGAAACUGCGAAUGGCUCAUUAAAACAGUUAUUGUUUAUUUGAUAAUCAAAUUUACAUGGAUAACCGUGGUAAUUCUAGAGCUAAUACAUGCUGAUAUGCCUGACUCUUAGGAAGGGCUGUAUUUAUUAGAUAACAAACCAAUAUUCCUCGUGUCUAUUGUGAUGACUCAUAAUAACUGAUCGAAUCGCAUGGACUUUGUCCGCGAUACAUCAUUCAAGUUUCUGCCCCAUCAGCUUUCGAUGGUAGUGUAUUGGACUACCAUGGCUGUAACGGGUAACGGAGGAUUAGGGUUCGAUUCCGGAGAGGGAGCCUGAGAAACGGCUACCACAUCUAAGGAAGGCAGCAGGCGCGUAAAUUACCCAAUCCUAAUUCAGGGAGGUAGUGACAAGAAAUAACGGACUGAGGCCUACGCUUCAGGAUUGCAAUGAGUAGAAUUAAACCCCUUGCGAG